GGUGAACCUGGUGUGGUUGGUGCUGUGGGCACUGCUGGUCCAUCUGGUCCUAGUGGACUCCCAGGAGAGAGGGGUGCUGCUGGCAUACCUGGAGGCAAGGGAGAAAAGGGUGAACGUGGUGAGGUCGGUCCUGCUGGCCCCAAUGGAUUUGCUGGUCCUGCUGGACCUCCUGGCACUCCAGGUCCUCAGGGUCUUCUUGGUGCUCCUGGUAUUCUGGGUCUCCCUGGCUCGAGAGGUGAACGUGGUCUACCAGGUGUUGCUGGUGCUGUG
rnacentral:lncRNA from 1 species